UACGUAGGGGGCAAGCGUUGUCCGGAAUCAUUGGGCGUAAAGCGCGUGUAGGCGGCUCGAUAAGUCCGCUCUGAAAGUCCAGGGCUCAACCCUGGGAUGCGGGUGGAUACUGUCGGGCUCGAGUCCGGAAGAGGAGAGUGGAAUUCCUGGUGUAGCGGUGAAAUGCGCAGAUAUCAGGAAGAACACCGAUGGCGAAGGCAGCUCUCUGGGACGGUACUGACGCUGAGACGCGAAAGCGUGGGGAGCGAACAGG
rnacentral:rRNA from 1 species